UCUCCGUUGGUGAACCAGCGGAGGGAUCAUUACCGAGUUAUUCUACUCCAAUACCCCUGUGAACUUAUACCUUUUCUGUUUCUUCUGCUGGUCAACGCCCCGGAAGGCCCGCGAGGCCCGCCGGAACCAGGCGCCCGCCGGGGGACCCAAACCCUUGUAUCUUUUUUUUGGCAUGUCUGAGGGGAAUCAUAAACAAAUGAAUCAAAACUUUCAACAACGGACCUCUUGGUUCUG
rnacentral:misc_RNA from 1 species